CUGAAAUUAAUAAUAGAAAAUUUAUCAAUUUGUUUUGUAUCUUAGUUUAUUGAGGAUAAGCUCAAUAAAAAUAAUAAAAUAGUAUACACCUUAUUUGAUUAGCUACAUGGGCUUGAAGUUAGCCAUUGUAUUAAAGUUUGUUACAAAAUAGUCUUUAUAUGUAGAAAGAUUAAUAUACUUUUUUUAUAGGGGUAACACGAAGAACCACGAUAUCUUGAUUCACUUAUGCUAGGAUGAGUAUUAGUAUAUAAGAUAUAUAAACAAAAACAGAAAAAUAUACAAAAUAGCUUUGCUUAGAGUAAAAUAAGAAUAAGGAAUUCAGCAAACGCUUAGCUCCGCCUGUUUAUCAAAAACAUGGCUCUUUGUUAAUCAAAUAUAAAGAGUCGGACCUGCCCAGUGAAGUUUUAACGGCCGCGGUACUCUGACCGUGCAAAGGUAGCAUAAUCAUUUGCCUUAUAAUUGAAGGCUUGUAUGAAUGGUUUGACGGGAGCAUUACUGUCUUUUUCUUACUUUAUAGAACUUGACCUCUAGGUGAAGAGGCCUAGAUACAGUUGAAAGACAAAAAGACCCUGUCGAGCUUAAAAAGGAAUCAGAAUAACUUUAUUACCCAAGAUCAAUUACUGACUAAUUUUUUUGGUUGGGGCGACCAAGGAACAAAAAAGCUUCCUCUAUUUUCUUAGCUAAUAAGCAUAGAUCCAGAAAAAGCUGAUUAAAAGAAAUAGUUACCGCAGGGAUAACAGCAUAAUCUCUCUUGAGAGACCUAAUCGAAAGAGGGGGUUGUGACCUCGAUGUUGGACUAGAAUAUCCUAAAGAUGCAGAAGUCU
rnacentral:rRNA from 1 species